CCUACGGGAGGCAGCAGUGAGGAAUAUUGGUCAAUGGUCGGGAGACUGAACCAGCCAAGCCGCGUGAGGGAGGAAGGUACAGAGUAUCGUAAACCUCUUUUGUCAGGGAACAAAGACUGGGACGCGUCCCCGGAUGAGUGUACCUGAAGAAAAAGCAUCGGCUAACUCCGUGCCAGCGGCCGCGGUAAUACGGAGGAUGCGGGCGUUAUCCGGUUUUAUUGGGUUUAAAGGGAGCGCAGGCGGGCUGUUAAGUCAGCGGUCAAAGCCCGGGGCUGAACCCCGGCCCGCCGUUGAGACUGGCAGUCUCGAGUUGGAGAGAGGUAUGCGGAAUGCGCGGUGUAGCGGUGAAAUGCGUAGAUAUCGCGAAGAACUCCGAUUGCGAAGGCAGCAUGCCGGCUCCACACUGACGCUGAGGCACGAAAGCGUGGGUAUCGAACAGGAUUAGAUACCCUAGUAGUC
rnacentral:rRNA from 1 species